UCCCGAGCGGCCAAAGGGAGCAGACUGUAAAUCUGCCGUCAUCGACUUCGAAGGUUCGAAUCCUUCCCCCACCACCA
rnacentral:tRNA from 4 species